UUUUAAAACAUAGUGAGAUUUAAAAAAUUAAUAAUAAUUAAUAUAAAUUUGAAAAAAAUGGCUGAGAUAUUCAAAGAAAAGGUAUUUUAUUAAUGUCGACCAAUUUACAAUUGGCAAGAGGGCAGUUCGGUGGUAUCAACGGAAAAACAAGUUCCAAAGAACAGUGGGAAUCUAUCGCUUUAACUUUGAACUCAUUGGGAGGAAGUCAAAAGACUGUUGAUCAAGGGAAGAAGUGUUGGUUAGAUUUAAAAGGGUCCGUUAAAAAAAAAAAAAAAAAACAUAUCAACAACUGAACAAAACCGGUGGUGGCAGUUGGGUCGAUGUGCCACGAGAUUUAAAUUAUUUUGAAGAAAAAAUUUUACAAAUUAUGACGGUGGAUGCCGUUGAUGGCGAUGCACGCACCCCAGAAUCAGGGAUUAAUUUAAACGUGGACUCACGAUAUAAAUGCAUUUAUGGAUCUAAUACUAAUGUUUUGACGUGUUACAAAACAAAAGACAAAUUCAAAAUAGUAUGCGCCAAAAGUUAAAAUUCAAAAGAAAGAACAACCAACAACAAGCACAUCAACACACCAACAGAAAAUUCCACUGACAGCAUCAAAAUAUGCAGAAGCAUUAACAGAAGCAAAAGAAAUGCAUUCUGCUUUAAUGGCAGAAAUAGAAAAACUUAAAAAUCAAAAUAACUUAUUUUUAGAAAAAGUAACUGAAAUUGAAAAAACGUUGGACAUUUUAAAAAGUUAAUUUGCUAUACGUAAUUAUUUCGUUAAUUUUCUUUAUACAAUUUAAAAUUAUAAUUCCCUUAAAACCCCAAUUGUUAACUAUUUAAUACACUGCUUAUCUUUCAAAAAACUUGUAAAUGGAUCCUUAUU